AGAGUUUGAUCAUGGCUCAGAACGAACGCUGGCGGCAUGCCUAACACAUGCAAGUCGAACGGAGGCCCGAAGCUUGCUUCGGAUACCUUAGUGGCGAACGGGUGAGUAACACGUGGGAAUCUACCUAAAAAUGGGGAAUAACUGUUGGAAACGACAGCUAAUACCGCAUAAUCCCUUCGGGGCAAAGGCUUCGGCCGUUUUUAGAUGAGCCCGCGCUAGAUUAGGUUGUUGGUGGAGUAAUAGCCCACCAAGCCUGCAAUCUAUAGCUGGUCUGAGAGGAUGAUCAGCCACACUGGGACUGAGACACGGCCCAGACUCCUACGGGAGGCAGCAGUGGGGAAUAUUGGACAAUGGGGGAAACCCUGAUCCAGCAAUGCCGCGUGAGUGAAGAAGGCCCUAGGGUUGUAAAGCUCUUUCAGAAGUGAAGAUGAUGACUGUAACUUCAGAAGAAGAUCCGGCUAACUCCGUGCCAGCAGCCGCGGUAAUUC
rnacentral:rRNA from 1 species